CCGGAGUCGGAAACGCCAUCAUUCAACAGCAUCACGCAACGCCAGGUGUGUUGAGAGGAUUGCCGAGAGAUUUCGGCGUUUGACCACCGUCACAUCAUCAGUCGGCAUCAGCUGGCGGCCAACAGCAGCAGCCGGGCAGCAGAGGCAACCGCGGCAACAACCGGAGUGACGUUUCCAUUUAGGUGGACGUAGGAUCGACUAAGGCGACCAACAUCGGAGGCGUUGGCGAUCGAAUGGGUCGCACGACUAAAAAUCAACGCGGCGCUUCCGGCGGCGGAAGCAAAGCCGAGACUCCACCCACUACAUCUCAGCAGCAACGAUACGAGACGGCCCUCUACUCGCGCGAAGACAUUCGCGAGCAAUAUUGCAUCAACAAGAAAGAAACGGACGUGCUGGAUCGCUCGUCCCACGUGCGCCAAAGAGCCAAAGGAUUUUUCGGAGAUUUUUCGGAUGAAGCCUUUAGCCCAGCCUUUCCUUUCUCUCCCCAUGUGCUUACGUCAACAGGGUUUUUUUUGGACAGAAACGGGUCGUGAUCGAUACGGCGGAGGUACGGACGUGAGUUAACCGACGUGGAACAGAUCCGCAGCUCCUUUUUUGCCUUCAAUCUCGUCGCUCCGCUCUCUCUGUGUGUGUGUGCGGCAGGCAGAGAGAUGUGCAUGUGGCCACUUAAGGGUCUCUCUCACGGCCGCUGCCCGUCCAUUUUGCUGAUCGAAUUUCCAGCUUAAGUCGCAGUCUAGGGAAGAGGGAGGCCAUUGAAAACUCAAAGGCGAAUCAUCAACUGAAAUACGAGAAGUAACUCUCCAGGAGCUCCUGGUAAAAUUGUAGAAGAAUUUCCAUUCGACCUAUUUUAUUUUUAAAGUUGUAACGACAUUUUUUCACGCGCCGAAAUUUUUCGAUUCAUUCGACGUAAAACCGGAUCGAUGUGUCGUAAUGAGACUACGAGAAAGCGAAUGGGAAGGGAUGUUAUUAGAGCGCCACUGGGUUUCAGGUUCUGCAGAUCGGAUCAGGAGGUUCUACGGUACUGGGCCUACACACCCGCUGGAAUACCUUGGCACAUCCUAUCCCCUUCCACCUCCUUCUAGGUUAAACAGAGAGAGGCCGGAUUGUAGCCGUGUGUGACGUCAAUAACGACGUUGUCUAUACAAGAGGAGAAAAAAGUAACUUUCCC